AAAAUCUUUGCUGGAAAAAAAAAAUAAAUUAAUAAAUUUUUGCUACUCACCCUUUUUGUCCAAACAUUUUUGACCCAUAUAUAUUUUUAACACUUCAACCUUUUAUAAUUCGGGGAAGUUUUAUGCAAAUUAACCCUAGUUUUUAUUUCCCCAUUUCUUUUACAUUUCGGUCGGUCAAGCGGAGCUUGAAAAACGAAUUUAAACAAAUUUCCUCUUAGAUCUAGAUCUGAGCUUUCUCAAAGCAUCUCUUGAAUUAAUAGCUUCAGUGAUGUUUAGGCGCGGGAACAAAACCUCAAAGCCAUGGAAUGUUAGCCUGAACCCUCAGGUGCCGGUAUUGGUUACAUUUCUUAUUAUAAUCCUUGUAGUUUUUUUAUGGUGGUUUCAUGAUAAUGGAGAGAAAUCCAGUUCUUCGUUUGGGAUUAAAAUGCAGAAAUGGAAUAGCUUUGAAUCAUUGGUUCAAUUUAACCAGACUGUGGAGUUUAGGAAUGGAACUGAUGUUAUAUGGCAAAUACCCAAUUCACCAAAGGCAGUCCUCUUUUUAGCACAUGGGUGUGACGGUCGAGCUGCUAACUUUUGGGACAGAUCUGCUAACUGCCCGAAUUGCGUUGGUUUGCCAGAAGAAAGGCUAAUUGUCCUUCAUGCUCUCGCUCGGAACUUUGCUGUUCUUACUGUAUCAAGUGCAGGGAGAUGCUGGUCAUUUGGGAAGGAAAAAUUGAUUGUUAAAGGUAUUAUCAAAUGGUGGGUUGAGAAAUACAAGUUUGAGAAGAUUCCUCUUGUGGCUUUGGGGGCCUCCUCCGGUGGGUACUUUGUUUCAUUGCUUGCCACCAAUCUGAGAUUUAGUAGCAUUACAAUUAUGAUUGCAGAAGGCAUGUUUGAUCAAAUGGAUAUUACAAAGAAAUACCCACCGACCCUAUUUGUUCACAUGCCCAAAGACGAAGCUAGGAAGCAGAGGAUAGAUGAAAAUCUGGAAGUUCUGAAGGAAAAAGGCAUUGAUGUUGCAGAUAUCAAGUGCAUGGAGUUCCCUUUGUCACCAACUUUCUUAGCUGACAGGAUUCCAGGUCUUGGUCAGUCUAUUUCAGAGAAAUUGUUUGAUCUAUUCCAUGACAAGGGAUUCAUUGAUAAAAAUGGUUAUAUGAGAAAUGAUGGGCGUGCAAUCCGUUGGAAAGCAGGUCUCAGAGAAAGAGGGAUGCAUUUGCCAGAUGGGCAUUUAGCUCAUCACAUUCAGGAAGAACUGAAUCUUGCAUUUGCAUAUCAUGAAAUGACUAGUUUGCAGUCUGAGAAAAUCUUUGACUGGUUUGAAUCUCAUAUGAGCUGAUCAAGACUCUAUUCUGCUACAUUCUCCCUUUUCCUGACCUUGGAAGAACAUCAUGGACAACCAAUGUAAUUUUCAGAUGAGCAUAUAUUACUGACUGUCAUCAAAACCAACUCAAAGUGGGAACAGUCAUGGGAAACUUGUCAAAAGUUUUACCUCUAGUCUAUCUUGGAUCUGGUCAGUUACGCAAGAAGAAAAAAGAAAAAGGGCAAAAUUAGAGAAAAGACAGAUAUCUCUCCAUUUAGUGCAGUAGGUGCUAUCCUAGGUGAGGAUAAUUUUGUUCUAGAAGGAAAAUCCAAUAGUGCAGCAUGAACUCACCAGCACCAAAAGUCAAAGUGCUACAUUCUGGAUAUGAAAACCCUCCUAUAAGGACCAUUGACAAUGUAUCAAAUGUGAAAACUGGUGUUCAUGGAUCCAUGGCAGGCGCGAUAUUAGUUUGAUGAUCAUCACACAUUUGAAAGGAGGGAAACUGUUGUUAACAAAAUAAAAGAUCCUCUCUCUCUCUAUUAUCUGGGUGUAGAAAAGGAGGAGGAUUAUUUAUUCUAAGUAUAGUUUAUCCUCACUGACUGCUUGUAACUUGGGACUUUCUGGUGGAGGAGACAUAGCCAAGCUGGACAUCCAACUGCUGAGAAGCCUUUCGGACAUGAUUGGUUCCAUAGACACGAACCAGAUAUGGUUGAGGCCAUUGGUCUUGUUGCACUUAUUCCAAAUUUUGUGGCACUUGGUUAUGUAGAACCUCCUGCAUCAUCGAUGUACUCAAUUGGUGAUCUUAGGAGUUAAAAAGGCGGCAUUGCUUUUGAGUUUUCUAUGUAUAAAUUUACUUUAGAAUAGCUGGCCAUGAUGCUUGAAUGCAUUAAAUGGUAGCUUCAUCUUUUCUGUUCCUUAUACUUCAGGGGAACGGUUGAUUUAUUCAAUGAGUUGUCUUCUACAGGGGAAAAGAAAAAACACACUAUUAAAAUGGUGUUUCCUUGUUUUUCUGCUUGCUUACUGGUUUUCAGUAAGCAUAAUUAAUUUCAUAGACUAUUAUUUGGAUU